rnacentral:rRNA from 1 species
CACGUAGGGUGCGAGCGUUGUCCGGAAUUAUUGGGCGUAAAGAGCUCGUAGGCGGUUUGUCGCGUCUGCCGUGAAAGUCCGGGGCUCGACUCCGGAUCUGCGGUGGGUACGGGCAGACUAGAGUGUGGUAGGGGAGACUGGAAUUCCUGGUGUAGCGGUGGAAUGCGCAGAUAUCAGGAGGAACACCGAUGGCGAAGGCAGGUCUCUGGGCCAUUACUGACACUGAGAAGCGAAAGCAUGGGGAGCGAACAGG